GGGCACUUGGCACAGUGGUAGCGCGCAUGCUUUGCACCUGGUUUGGUCUGCAUGAGGUCGGGAGUUCGAUCCUCUCAGUGUCCA